rnacentral:rRNA from 1 species
UACGAAGGGGGCUAGCGUUGCUCGGAAUCACUGGGCGUAAAGGGUGCGUAGGCGGGUCUUUAAGUCAGGGGUGAAAUCCUGGAGCUCAACUCCAGAACUGCCUUUGAUACUGAAGAUCUUGAGUUCGGGAGAGGUGAGUGGAACUGCGAGUGUAGAGGUGAAAUUCGUAGAUAUUGGGAAGAACACCGGUGGCGAAGGCGGCUCACUGGCUCGUAACUGACGCUCAGGCACGACAGCGUGGGGAUCAAACAGG